rnacentral:misc_RNA from 1 species
GAUGAAGAACGUAGUGAAAUGCGAUAAGUAAUGUGAAUUGCAGAAUUCAGUGAAUCAUCGAAUCUUUGAACGCACAUUGCGCCCGCCAGUAUUCUGGCGGGCAUGCCUGUUCGAGCGUCAUUUCAACCCUCAGGCCCCGCCUGGCGUUGGGGAUCGGCGCGGCCCUCUCCGGGCUGCCGGCCCCGAAAACUAGUGGCGGUCUCGCUGUAGUCCUCCUCUGCGCAGUAUCAACGCUCGCACUGGAACUCGGCGCGGCCACGCCGUAAAACACCCCACUUCUGAAAGUUGACCUCGGAUCAGGUAGGAAUACCCGCUGAACUUAAGCAUAUCAAUAAGCGGAGGA